rnacentral:lncRNA from 1 species
AACCAAGUUACUAUGAUUAAAAGCUUUCAUAUUAUGCAAGUAUUGGGAUCCACAUGAGUUCAUCUGUUACAUGGUCUUGAUACAACUGUUACUUUGAACCUGUGUCUAAUGCCUUAUUCUGAGCCAAUCAAGGAGUAUGUCAUAUGAUACAUAAGAAGAAGACUAUGAAGUUGCUUGCUUGGAUAUGGCUAUCUUUAUUUGAUGCCUUGCUCUUUAUUUUUCUAUUCGCUUGUUUUUAUUGCUUGAUUCAAAAGUCCGAAGGGAAAAUGGGUUUUCUAUAUGACACUCUUGUCUGUUGGAUUGCAUCCCAUUGGUCAGAUCUUUUCAACUCUUAACUUUUAAUUUUAUGCUUAGGAUUAGUCUCUUCAUCUCCUCCCAC